rnacentral:tRNA from 1 species
GCGUCUCCUGGUCCGGUGCGGCGGCGAUGGCCGUCUCCAGACCGGCGAGGGGGGCGAGGACCGGUUCCGCCGGUGAGGCGUCC